CGGGGGGCGGAGACAGAGAGAGAGAGAGAGGCGUGCGCUCCCGCGGACGCGCGUGCGCCAGGCUUUCUGCCCCGGGCUCCGCCGGGCUCCAGCCCGGCUCCAGCCGGCGUCCGUGCGGCGUGCGUCCGUCCGGAGACCCAGUGACCCCGAGAGGGGAGGACAGGGUUUCCCUGUGGCUUUGGAGUCUGUCCUGGAACUAGCUCUUGUAGAGCAGGCUGGUCUCGAACUCACAGCGAUCCCCCUGCCUCUGCCUCCCGAGUGCUGGGAUUAAAGGCGUGCGCCACCACCCUGCUCCACUUUGACAUGUCAAUGGCACCUCAGCCCUUUGUCCCCGUGUUUGACACCCGAACAACACCCAGGAGACCCCCUGGGACCUCAGGAACGAAGGGGCCUAACAUGCCUUGCAUGUGCAGACAGCCUAGCCCGUCCUGCCUCAUCAGCUGCCCAGCGGAGCCAAAGUUAAGAACCCAAGGAUUCCAAGACGAGAGAUGAGGAGAGCACAGGUCUCGAGGCGCUCGUGCCCUUUUUGCCUGCUGAGGAUGGAAGGAUACAAGGGGAAGGGAGCAUGCCCAUGCCAGUUCUCCCACGGUGAAGAAGAAUGAGCCUGGGACCUUCCGU
rnacentral:lncRNA from 1 species